rnacentral:rRNA from 1 species
UGAGAGGUUUGAUUAUGGCUCAGAUUGAACGCUGGCGGGAUGCUUUACAUGCAAGUCGAACGGCAGCACGGACUCGGUCUGGUGGCGAGUGGCGAACGGGUAGGUAAUGUAUCGGAACGUGCCUAGUAGCGGGGGAUAACUACGCGAAAGCGUAGCUAAUACCGCAUACGCCCUUCGAAAAGCGGGGACCUUCGGGCCUCGCACUAUUAGAGCGGCCGAUAUCGGAUUAGCUAGUUGGUGGGGUAACGGCUCACCAAGGCGACGAUCCGUAGCUGGUUUGAGAGGACGACCAGCCACACUGCCGGGACUGAGACACGGCCCAGACUCCUACGGGGAGGCAGCAGUGGGGAAUUUUGGACAAUGGGGGGAAACCUGAUCCAGCCAUCCCGCGUGUGCGAUGAAGGCCUUCGGGUUGUAAAAAAGCACUUUUGGCAGGAAAGAAACGGCACGGGAUAAUACCCCGUGCAACUGACAGUACCUGCAGAAUAAGCACCGGCUAACUACGUGCCAGCAGCCGCGGUAAUACGUAGGAGUGCAAGCGUUAAUCGGAAUUACUGGGCGUAAAGCGUGCGCAGGCGGUUCCGGAAAGAAAAUGUGAAAUCCCAGAGCUUAACUUUGGAACUGCAUUUUUUUAACUACCGAGCUAGAGUGUGUCAGAGGAGGUGGAAUUCCGCAUUGUAGCAGUGAAAUGCGUAGAUAUGCGGAGGAACACCGAUGGCGAAGGCAGCCUCCUGGGGAUAACACUGACGGCUCAUGCACGAAAAGCGUAAGGAGCAAACAGGAUUAGAUACCCUGGUAGUCCACGCCCUAAACGUCAACUAGCUGUUGGGGCCUUCGGGCCUUGGUAGCGCAGCUAACGCGUGAAGUUGACCGCCUGGGGAGUACGGUCGCAAGAUUAAAACUCAAAGGAAUUGACGGGGACCCGCACAAGCGGUGGAUGAUGUGGAUUAAUUCGAUGCAACGCCGAAAAACCUUACCUACCCUUGACAUGUCUGGAAUCCCGAAAGAGAUUUGGGAGUGCUCGCAAGAGAACCGGAACACAGGUGCUGCAUGGCUGUCGUCAGCUCGUGUCGUGAGAUGUUGGGUUAAGUCCCGCAACGAGCGCAACCCUUGUGUCAUUAGUUGCUACGAAGGGCACUCUAAUGAGACUGCCGGUGACAAACCGAGAAGGUGGGGAUGACGUCAAGUCCUCAUGGCCCUUAUGGUGAGACCACACGUCAUACAAUGGUCGGGACAGAGGGUCGCCAACCCGCGAGGGGGAGCCAAUCCCAGGGAAACCCGAUCGUAGUCCGGAUCACAGUCUGCAACUCGACUGCGUGAAGUCGGAAUCGCUAGUAAUCGCGGAUCAGCAUGUCGCGGUGAAUACGUUCGGGUCUUGUACACACCGCCCGUCACACCAUGGGAGUGGGUUUUACCGAAGUAGUUAGCUAACCGUAAGGAGGGCGAUUACCACGGUAGGAUUCAUGACUGGGGUGAAGUCAUAACAAGGUAA